AUGGCCUGGUCCUUUCUCCUCCUCGCCCUCCUUGCUCACUGCACAGGGUCCUGGGCUGCGCUGACUCAGCCACCUGCAGUUUCUGGGGCCCUGGGCCAGAAGGUCACCAUCUCCUGCUCUGGAAGUUCAUACAUCGGUAUUAUGGGUGUGAACUGGUACCAACAGCUCCCAGGAAAGACUCCUAAACUCCUCAUAUAUGCUGGUGGCAAUCGACCCUCUGGUGUCCCUGAACGAUUUUCUGGCUCCAAAGCUGGUGACUCAGGCUCUCUGACCAUCAAUGGGCUCCAGGCUGAGGAUGAGGCUGAUUAUUACCACCAGUCCUUUGAUCUUACGCUAGCUGCUCACACAGUGCUCCAGGCCUGUGGGGAAGUGAGACAAAAACCUGCUGUCUCCGCAGCAAUGGAGCUCCCUAUGCAGCUCCCACUUUUUGGCCAAGUCAGCAGCUGCUUUUUUGAUAUAAACAGGGGUCUGAGACCCAUCUCAAGGAAUCUGUUUACGAAGUCUUUCCACAUUCUCUUAAAUUUCUCCUCGAAGCCUGUCCCUGGGAGCAAGAUAUUGUGUGAUUUCCGAAAUUGA